AAAAAGAGGAGUGGCGAACGGGUGAGUAACACGUGGGUAACCUGCCCAUCAGAAGGGGAUAACACUUGGAAACAGGUGCUAAUACCGUAUAACAAUCGAAACCGCAUGGUUUUGAUUUGAAAGGCGCUUUCGGGUGUCGCUGAUGGAUGGACCCGCGGUGCAUUAGCUAGUUGGUGAGGUAACGGCUCACCAAGGCCACGAUGCAUAGCCGACCUGAGAGGGUGAUCGGCCACAUUGGGACUGAGACACGGCCCAAACUCCUACGGGAGGCAGCAGCAGGGAAUCUUCGGCAAUGGACGAAAGUCUGACCGAGCAACGCCGCGUGAGUGAAGAAGGUUUUCGGAUCGUAAAACUCUGUUGUUAGAGAAGAACAAGGAUGAGAGUAACUGUUCAUCCCUUGACGGUAUCUAACCAGAAAGCCACGGCUAACUACGUGCCAGCAGCCGCGGUAAUACGUAGGUGGCAAGCGUUGUCCGGAUUUAUUGGGCGUAAAGCGAGCGCAGGCGGUUUCUUAAGUCUGAUGUGAAAGCCCCCGGCUCAACCGGGGAGGGUCAUUGGAAACUGGGAGACUUGAGUGCAGAAGAGGAGAGUGGAAUUCCAUGUGUAGCGGUGAAAUGCGUAGAUAUAUGGAGGAACACCAGUGGCGAAGGCGGCUC
rnacentral:rRNA from 1 species